rnacentral:rRNA from 1 species
CCUACGGGAGGCUGCAGUGGGGAAUAUUGGACAAUGGGGGGAACCCUGAUCCAGCCAUGCCGCGUGUGUGAAGAAGGCCCUCGGGUUGUAAAGCACUUUCAGUGAGGAAGAACGCCUGGUGGUUAAUACCCAUCAGGAAAGACAUUACUCACAGAAGAAGCACCGGCUAACUCCGUGCCAGCAGCCGCGGUAAUACGGAGGGUGCGAGCGUUAAUCGGAAUUACUGGGCGUAAAGCGCGCGUAGGUGGCUUGAUAAGCCGGUUGUGAAAGCCCCGGGCUCAACCUGGGAACGGCAUCCGGAACUGUCAAGCUAGAGUGCAGGAGAGGAAGGUAGAAUUCCCGGUGUAGCGGUGAAAUGCGUAGAGAUCGGGAGGAAUACCAGUGGCGAAGGCGGCCUUCUGGACUGACACUGACACUGAGGUGCGAAAGCGUGGGUAGCAAACAGGAUUAGAUACCCUGGUAGUC